GACGAACGCUGGCGGCGUGCUUAACACAUGCAAGUCGAACGGUAAGGCCCUUCGGGGUACACGAGUGGCGAACGGGUGAGUAACACGUGGGUGAUCUGCCCUGCACUUUGGGAUAAGCCUGGGAAACUGGGUCUAAUACCGAAUAUAACUACAGGCUGCAUGGUCUGUGUUGGAAAGCUUUUGCGGUGUGGGAUGGGCCCGCGGCCUAUCAGCUUGUUGGUGGGGUGAUGGCCUACCAAGGCGACGACGGGUAGCCGGCCUGAGAGGGUGACCGGCCACACUGGGACUGAGAUACGGCCCAGACUCCUACGGGAGGCAGCAGUGGGGAAUAUUGCACAAUGGGCGCAAGCCUGAUGCAGCGACGCCGCGUGAGGGACGACGGCCUUCGGGUUGUAAACCUCUUUCAGCACAGACGAAGCGCAAGUGACGGUAUGUGCAGAAGAAGGACCGGCCAACUACGUG
rnacentral:rRNA from 1 species